UUUCAUUUGCAGACUCAAAUAAUUUAGGAUUCUGAUGAGGAGGGAUAUUUGCAUUCCCCACACUCGGAGACAAAUCAGAACUCCAGCACCACAGGAGUUUCCUAGCUACUAACCGAACAGCAAACUUUUGAAAUUCAGCCACAGCAGGCCCCACAACCUGAGGCAAGUCAGCCAGCUCCAGACCAGCCACAGCAGCAACAGCAAAUGCAACAUGUGGAACUGGAAGGACCCCAGCAACCAGCUCCAAGGAUGUUAGACCAUGGAAGGGGCCGUGGAAGAAGUAGUCGUGGCAGACGUGGUGGAUCUGGCACUACCGGGGGCAGGACCGAACAAUCUGUAGAAAAAAUUGUAAUAGACAGUGAGCUAUUAAUCCAGAUAGUUCAUGAACGUCCUUCCCUAUGGGAUCAGACAGAUCCACAACAAGCCAACCACACAGCAACACGAAGACUAUGGCAGGACAUCUUACAUCAAACAUUACUAUGUUUUAAUAGUCUUUUCUGUGGGGACCAUUGGAUCACUGCUAACUUUCAGGAAUCUCCAAGGCCAAAGGUGUCCAAUCCUAGUUGCCACGUGAUAUUUUGUAUGCCACUCCGAUUACAAGAAGUAUAUAUUUCUUUUAGAUAUAUCACUUAUCUAUUGUUUAACAUCCCAAAUUUCCCAGUUACA